CAUUUAAUAAAGUACUUCAAGAAAGGGUGACCUCACAAAAGGACUGGCUGGUAACAAGUGGGAGAGGGAGUAUGGAGAGCAUGCUACAUGCAGGGUUGGAAAAUAGAACUGGCCAUUAACAUAAUCUUGAAGGAAAAGAGAAAAUGAAGCUUGUAGCCAAUGCCAUUUUUCAAAAGGAUUGACUUGAUGAAGACAGCUUCUAGGAUAUCCUUUCAUUUGUAUAAAAUGGUGCCUGGAAAAGAUAAAGAAAUGAGAAGAAAUCAUGAGAUAAAAAUGUUUCCAACUGAAGAAAAAAACAGCAAUCUAAUAUCUAUAUAAUUCCCCUAGGAGUAAUACAGCAAAUACAUUAGUAUAUAGUGCCUGGCCUAUAACUCUGGGAACACCUGGAGCCCACAGAAUGAAGCAUCUGGGAGGUUGUGUAGGCCGCCAUGGGGAAGAAUCACCACCAAGCUCAGUCCUGACCCAGUACUGGUGGGACCCAGCCACACCAAGGCCAAGGACAGCCUCUCUCUGCAGACAGGCCAGCUGGCUGGGGACUGGGGGACUUCA
rnacentral:lncRNA from 1 species